UUCGACCCCUAUGGACUCAUCUCCUUCUUCUCCUAUGUUUCUUUGUUUGUUCAUUGAUCGAAUGUAACUUUGAAUUUGAUUUGUUUGCACAAUUCUCAAAUUUUAUUUCUUAACAUCUUGAGCUUACACCUUGAAAGCUUAACCAUCUACAUAUAUUCAAAUAAAGUGGAAGAUGAAAAAGUUAUUGAUUGUGUAAUAACAUUUAGCAUGCAUUACGUUAAUAUCAGUUAUAUGGUAGAUGGAAAAGUUACAUUAUAUGGCCCUAAUAACACAAGACAUUAACUAAUAUCAAUUACGGAAUUAAAAUCUCUUAGUUUUAUAAAAAGAUGAAAAGUUAACUAAGUGUAACUCUACCUUGUUAAAUGUGAAAAUGCUCACAAACAUUAAAUCUAUGUGAAUGAAAAAAUUGCUAACACUACAAGAAAACGAGGGUUUCCCGACGCCAAAAAAGACGUCAGCAAUAAGAACGUCGAGAAUAAGUGUAUUCCCGAUGCUACGCACACUACGUCAGAAGAGGUUUCGGUAAUACCCUUUUUCUCGACGCCUAAAGCACGUCUCGGCCAACUGACGUCGGGAAUAGGCCAAAUUAAAUUAAAAAUACACCUUUUUUCUGACGCCAUGCAGAGUGCGUCGGAAAUGACAUCGGGCAUAAGGGGUUUUCCCGACACACCGUAGCGAGUCGGGAAACCCUUUUAAUGAGCAUCAGGAAUACCAUUAUUCCUUAUGCCUUUUUGGAGAUUUCCUGACGCCACACGACUGCGUUGGGAAAUCCCCUUUAUAAACGAUUCAGUUCUGUAUUUCACAGAACUAAAACCGAAAGGAAAAGGGAGAAGAGAGAACCAUCGAGGCUUUGCCGUUCGUAGCUCGCCACCUUCCAUUCCAUCGUCGUUGCCGUCCCUUGCCGUCGUUCCUCGUCGUUCCGCCGCCGUCUGCCACCUUAGCCAUUAUGUCAUGGUCAUAUCCACGUAAUAAUUUUAUGGAGAAGGACGCUAUGUUCCUCGAGUUUGAGGACGAUUUAGAUAACAUCGGGGGAGGGUCGUCGUCUGUGGGCGACAAUACAGUGCGUCUAAGAAUUUUCUUCAUUUUAACUUAUGAUUAUUUCAUGUUCUUUUUUCUAACAUUAUAUGUUAUUAUCGAUUUAUUAAGUAGGAUCUUCUUCUCAACAACUUGCGACUCCGACUCCUAGGGGACGUGCACAGUCUCGACUCUUGGAGUUAGAGCGCCACGUUGUAAUAAAUAUGCGCAUUCCGAUGACGAUCGCCCCUAGAGCGGAGAAGCCUAUUUCCCCACACGUCGUUCGCUUCAGCCAGGCGAUAGGCGUGUGCGUGCAAAAGACAUUUUUCGUCCACUACCUUAAGUGGGCGAACGUUGGGAGAGAAUACAUUGAGGUCGUCAAGGGCGACCUCUAGCGAUUAUUUGUGCUUGAUUUCAAUGAUCAAGCAAUGAAUAAGUUUGUUGAGCAUCAGAUGCUCACGACCUUUAAAGAGUUUCGGGUCGACUAUCACAGACAUUUCAAAAAGUACAACGACCCAGAGGAGGCUCGUACCAACCCACCAACGCAUUGGAGCAAUCACAGACGAACAAGGCUGCUAGACAGAAGCAGCCUUACAAUCAUAGUAGCGGGUCCAAGUCAUUUCUACAAUGACAAUACGAGCUCGCUGAGAGAAAAGAGGAGUCGGUCGAUCGUGUGGAAUUGUUUCGGAAAACACACGUUCGAGCUGGGACGUUCGUGUCGCAGGGCGCAGAGGAUGCACAUUUAA